AGAAUAUGUACAACAGCUGCAAUGGUUCCAGCCUUCCCCUGUUUUGGAUAUUUGAUGACUACUGAUACCACAGGCAGCGCACCUGGGACCUCCACAGUUCUGAAAAACCCCACUGAAAUUCCUUCAUACUUCUUCCCUACCAAGGAGGUGACUUCUCAGGAGAUGGAGAGUACUGCAAUUGCUGUAUCUCUGCAGAGAAAGAAGAGCAAAAAUAUUGCAUGUCAGCCUGAGAAGAGCAGAUAUGGAAAGUGUUCCAUGGGACUAGAGAGUGACAAGAGAUUCAGAAGCUGCAAGGCAUUAAUGAGGUGCAUUGAUUUAAUUAGCCAGCAUAACAUCAUUUAUCAUGGCAACCAUGAGAGAUGUGCCCACAACAGUCACUGCCUGAAGGUCACACUCACAUGGAACAUUUCUCCUAUGCCACACAAAUGUCCAACUGUAAAAACCUGUUCUAUCCAGGCUUGGAAAGAAGUCACUGAAAGACAAUUUUGAAAAGCUUUCACACAAAUAACAGAGUGAUAUAUGUUGUCAUCAGGCCGAUUUGAUACCUUAAUAUUGUGAAGUUUCUGGAUUCCCAAUGUGGGAAGUAAACAGUAAGGACUGAUUUUAAGAGUGUUAUCUGUAACAGAGUCAGAAUCAUCAAGUUUUAGGACAUUUCAUGUUUUUAUAACAGCACAUCUAUGCCUGUCAGUUUUUUCUGCCUUUUCAUUAUUCAGGAAAAAACUUAAUGAUGAGGCUCUGAAAGAAUUCUCAGUAGCAAAAAGCUUCAUAAUGGCUCAUUUAUGGUCUCAGCUACAGAGGGGUAAGACUCCAGUACACUGAUGAAGUGAAAAGAGUUCCUGGGGUAUAAAUGGGUGUUGCAUAUAAGCAAAACCUUAUAAAAUAAGGGCCUUGUUACCCUUGUAAAAUCGAGGCUUAGGUCUGAUACUUUGGCUAAUUAGAAGAGGACUAUGGGAAAGUGACUCGGCUGAAUUAGAGGUAGAAAAGCAAGUUAUAUAACCAUUAUGUGUUCACAUUGUGGUGCAUGGUGGUUGGUUGAAUUAUCUAUGUUAUGAUUUAAAACUAUGUAACUGAUAAAGGUCUAACUGCUUAAAAAGGCCUGGUUUUUGCAGUAAAGCUGUUCUCCUUUGCACCUGCCUGGGGACCCUGUGUCACUUUGC
rnacentral:lncRNA from 1 species